UACGUAGGGUGCGAGCGUUAAUCGGAAUUACUGGGCGUAAAGCGUGCGCAGGCGGUGAGCUGUGUCCGAUGUGAAAGCCCCGGGCUUAACCUGGGAAUGGCAUUGGAAACUGGCUCGCUGGAGUGUGGCAGAGGGGGGUGGAAUUCCGCGUGUAGCAGUGAAAUGCGUAGAUAUGCGGAGGAACACCGAUGGCGAAGGCAAUCCCCUGGGCCUGCACUGACGCUCAUGCACGAAAGCGUGGGGAGCAAACAGG
rnacentral:rRNA from 1 species